UGCUUCUUUGUGGAGCUGUUGAAACCCUCAGUUGUUACCUAUAAAUAGAAGCCCUUAGUGAGCUAUUUGGGACAGGUUCAAGUGUUGGAAAUUCCUCUUGAAUAACCCAAAAAAAAAAUCUCAUCUGUUUUCAUCAAGCUUUUCAUUAAAAAAAUCUUUUUUUACUCUAAGUUGGUGGUCUCAAAAAUUCUCUUUUAACUCUAAUUUUGUUUUGUUGAAUUCUUGGUGGUUCUCGGCUAAACAAGCUCUUCAAGAGGAUUCAGAGACUCGAGAGGACAACAAGCCUCAGUUCGCUGUCACGGAGAAGCAACCUGGGGAGUGCAUUGGAGUUGUGAUACAACUUCAGCUCUGCCCCGAAUUAGGAGAGCACCAGCAGCCGCAUUUUCAGCUAGAGCCUAGCAGCCCCGUUUGCGUCAAAGCGUCCACGUCCCUCUUCCUCUCUUUAAAUUUUAUAGCUUCUUGUAUUGAUAUGUGAUAUGCUGAUUGACUAACGUUUUUAUGGGUUUGUAUUCGUAGUAUUCUGUUUCUGGCUUGUUGUUAGUAAACUCGUGAACGCCCGAGAAUGAUUGCUUCAAAUAAAUUUUCACGAAGAAAAAAAAA